AUGCCGCCCACCGCCUCCCCCUCCGCCUCCGCCAUCAUCGCUGAGACGGCGAGCGGGUACCACCACCUCAAGAUCCGCGGCUACUCAAGCCUCAAGGCCAUCCCCAGCAGCCAGUGCCUCAUUUCCGGCCCUUUCACCGUCGGAGGCCAUCGCUGGAGGAUCAUCUACUACCCGAACGGCGACCGGGCGGAGAGCGCGGGCCACGUGUCCGUCUUCCUCUUCCUCGACGAGAAUGUGGACAAGGAAGUGAUGGCGCGGUUCCAGUUUGGUUUCAAGGCGGAGAAGAAGGCCAAGCCGGCGGCGGGGACUUCAGAAGCUGCACACAGCUUCGCCAGCCAGGGCACUUGGGGGUACACAAAGUUCGUGCAAUGGAAUGCGUUGGAGAAAUCGAAGCAUCUCAAGGGCGAUUCGUUCACCAUCAGGUGCGACCUCGCCGUCGUCAAGAGGGUCCGCAUCGAGGGGACUGCCCAGGAAGCAGCUCCAAAGUUCGUCGACGUUCCCCCGUCCGACCUGAAGCAGCACCUCAGUGGCCUCUUCCUCACCGGAAGCGGCGCGGACGUCGUGUUCGAGGCUGGUGGCGAGACAUUCGCGGCGCACCGCUGCGUGCUCGCGGCCCGGUCGCCGGUGUUCAGCGCGGAGCUCUUUGGCUCGAUGAAGGAGGGUAACACCAACGAUCUGGUCCGCAUAGAUGGCAUGGAGGCGCAGGUGUUCAAGGCUCUGCUCUGCUUCGUCUACACCGAUUCGCUGCCGGAGAUGGGAAAAGAAGAGGAAGACGCCAUGUGCCAGCACCUGCUUGUCGCGGACACGUAUAACUUGGAGAGGAUGAAGUUGGUAUGUGAAGACAAGUUGUGCAAGCACAUCAAUGUAGGCACGGCGGUGAACAUCCUGGCACUGGCUGAACUGCACGGUUGCCCCGGGCUCAAGACUGCAUGCAUCCAUUUUCUCAGCUCUCGGGCAAAUCUGAGGGCAGCCAUGGCCAGCGACGGCUUCGAGCAUCUAAGCACAACCUGCCCCUCUGUUGCCAAGGAGUUGAUCGCCAUGUCUUCCGCACCUUAG
rnacentral:rRNA from 1 species